rnacentral:rRNA from 1 species
GGGUUGUGAGGUUAAGUGACUAAGCGUACACGGUGGAUGCCUAGGCAGUCAGAGGCGAUGAAGGGCGUGCUAAUCUGCGAAAAGCGUCGGUAAGGUGAUAUGAACCGUUACAACCGGCGAUACCCGAAUGGGGAAACCCAGUGUGUUUCGACACACUAUCAUGUCAUGAAUACAUAGUGGCAUGAGGC